rnacentral:misc_RNA from 1 species
GUAGGUGAACCUGCGGAAGGAUCAUUAAUGAAUGAACAUAGAGUCGGUUGUAGCUGGCCUGCAAAGGCACGUGCACGCCUUCUCUUUCAUCCACACACCCCUGUGCACCCGUGAGACGGAGGCUUGUUUCUUUCCUUUCAUUUGGGGGGGAUUUGUUUCCGUCUGCCACUACACAAACUCAUAUAUUUAAUCCGAAUGUAAUUGA